UGUUCUGUGGCUUAGUUGACUGAAACGCCGAACUAGUGACAUGGAGUCGUGGGUUCGAAUCCCAUCAAAGCAA
rnacentral:tRNA from 1 species